ACUGUUGUAGGUGCUGUGGGGCAAGUGAGAUUAAGACCUUGCCCUCUAAGUAAUAUUAAAUAGAUGAUAAUGUGAUAGCAAGUGACAGCUGGAGUGAGAGACUGUGCUUGAGUUAGGGUAAUCAAGAAAGGUCUCAUAGAAGAAGUGGUUAGGUAAGACUGGGUGUAGUCAUGUGAAGAUGUAGAGAAGAACUUUCCAAGCAGAAGAGACACAAAAUGCAAAAGCUAUGAGAUGGGCAAGAGCAUAUGUGUUAAUAAGACAGAAGGAAAGCCUGUGUGGAUGAGCAAUGGGAAAAGAGAAGAGAAAAGAAAAGAAAGAUGAAGUCUGAAGUCUAAGGAACAGGAACAAGUCUGAAUCUUGUACAGCCUUGUAGCCCAUGCUGAGGCCUUUGAGAUACUAUAUGAACUGCUCCAACAUUCUGAAGAGAAGGUCUGGAUCAUUUAAGUAGGACUUGCAAAGAAAGUGGCCUAGAUCCUUAGCUGAGCUGAUCACUUACCUCAAACCUAUAAAGAAGUGGAGGGGCCAAGAAUAGGUGUUGGAUAUCAGCGGGAGAGUUUCAUCAAAGAGCUGUCAGUUUCAUCUCAACCUUACCCUCCAGGAGAGGUAAGAUGUCCUCUGUCUCACAAUAAAUGAGUUUGACUUUUGGUCCUGGGCAUCUGUGGUACUGAGAGCUUAGGGCUGGCUCCAUGCUUUAAAAUAUGUAUAUGUGAGAACUGCAUGAACUCGCCAGUGCGGAGAUGAAAAAGAAAGAAAAAAGUCAGGAAGCUCCAGAAGCUUUCUACAUUUCCAUUUGAGAUAAGGACAAGGAUGCUUGAAUGUUUUUCUUGAAGAAGUGAACAAAUGGAACAGAAAUCUACAUUUUACCUGAGAGAGGAAAGAGAGUGCAUAACUGUUUCUCAUGAACCACAGUGAAGUUUGAGAGCAUAGGCUCAGAACCAACUCAAAUCCUCUAUACAAAGAUUGCCUGGAGAGUCAAGGUGAACACCCCUCCUACGCACACACCUGCCAACACACACACAAAAGACAGAGGAAGACUACAGGAUUGCAAAAGGAGAGAGAAGGAACACAAGUGGCUAGCUGAAGGAAAAGUAUUGCUUAAAUUUGGGGACCACUGCAGAAGGUUUCCAAUAGCACUCCAAAAAAAUAGGAGGCCACAUGAAUCAUAAUCAAUCCCAAAGGAAUCCAUCAUAAAUACUGGUCACAGCUGGAAGUAACCAAUACUCUAUUGGUGUCUGUCCUUGUUCAUGUACUUGUCUCCCCACCACUCCAAUCACUGAAGCUGAGUCUCUUGGGUGGUGUGCAAAGGAGAUCGAAUCCAGCCAAGUGACAGGAUGAAAGAGAAUCUGACCACACUCUCCAUACUUGCCAC
rnacentral:lncRNA from 1 species